UAAGGCCGCAGCUUCGUGGCUAAAAAAGGCCCGAGCCCCGCAUGACGCAGACACAGCAGGAGCGUGUGGCAGGAGCACAUUCACAAUGACCCAGAAACCUCCCCGCGCUGGCGCAGCUCAGACCGGGUUAUUUUUAGUUCCUGGUGGGGGUCUGAAUGGGAGCCUUCGGGAGAGGGGGAGGCCGCUGUGCGAGGGAGGUGCAGCCCAGAACCGGGCAAGUGCAAAGUACCAUCAGCGGCAAAGGGACAAAGGCGGCCUUGGUGAGUGGGGGGCGGCUGUGACCCCACCUGCAUUACAGAGACUCGCAGGGCAGAAAGCAAAAAAAGCAUCUAUCGCAGUCUCAGAGAAAGGGCAACUCCCGCCAGACAACGUCCCCGGAGGAGGGCGAACCACAGACUGAAAAACACCAGGUAUUUAAGAAGUUGGGGUUCCUCCAUUCAUGGCUGGAGAAUGGCGGCUGGCCAGUGGAUGCUGGACGCUGGAUUCUUUGGGUCCUCCAGCCCUGGGACCAAUAUGGAUUCCUUGGUCCCAGUAUACUUAUCUCUGUCUGACUGGAUAAUCUGAGACAAGAGUCCUGUCCAGUCAAUCUUACGCUCCCAUUAAUAAAAUAUUAAAAACUCUCUAA